rnacentral:rRNA from 1 species
UCGGGAAACCGGAGCUAAUACCGGAUAACAUGUUGAACCGCAUGGUUCAACAGUGAAAGACGGUCUUGCUGUCACUUAUAGAUGGAUCCGCGYCGCAUUAGCUAGUUGGUAAGGUAACGGCUUACCAAGGCAACGAUGCGUAGCCGACCUGAGAGGGUGAUCGGCCACACUGGAACUGAGACACGGUCCAGACUCCUACGGGAGGCAGCAGUAGGGAAUCUUCCGCAAUGGGCGAAAGCCUGACGGAGCAACGCCGCGUGAGUGAAGAAGGUCUUCGGAUCGUAAAACUCUGUUAUUAGGGAAGAACAAAUGUGUAAGUAACUAUGCACGUCUUGACGGUACCUAAUCAGAAAGCCACGGCUAACUACGUGCCAGCAGCCGCGGUAAUACGUAGGUGGCAAGCGUUAUCCGGAAUUAUUGGGCGUAAAGCGCGCGUAGGCGGUUUUUUAAGUCUGAUGUGAAAGCCCACGGCUCAACCGUGGAGGGUCAUUGGAAACUGGAAAACUUGAGUGCAGAAGAGGAAAGUGGAAUUCCAUGUGUAGCGGUGAAAUGCGCAGAGAUAUGGAGGAACACCAGUGGCGAAGGCGACUUUCUGGUCUGUAACUGACGCUGAUGUGCGAAAGCGUGGGGAUCAAACAGGAUUAGAUACCCUGGUAGUCCACGCCGUAAACGAUGAGUGCUAAGUGUUA